rnacentral:rRNA from 1 species
CGCGGGGGCAACCCUGGCGGCGAGUGGCGAACGGGUGAGUAAUACUUCGGAACGUACCCCGUAGUGGGGGAUAACUCAGCGAAAGCUGGGCUAAUACCGCAUAUGCUCUACGGAGGAAAGCAGGGGACCGCAAGGCCUUGUGCUAUGGGAGCGGCCGAAGCCCGAUUAGCUUGUUGGUGAGGUAAAGGCUUACCAAGGCGACGAUCGGUAGCUGGUCUGAGAGGAUGAUCAGCCACACUGGGACUGAGACACGGCCCAGACUCCUACGGGAGGCAGCAGUGGGGAAUUUUGGACAAUGGGGGCAACCCUGAUCCAGCCAUGCCGCGUGAGUGAAGAAGGCCUUCGGG